rnacentral:lncRNA from 1 species
GGCACCCACCUGGAGAACAAGGGAAUACAGUUCAAGUUUUGGUAAUCAGGAGCUCACCUGGAGAACAAGGGAAUACAGUUCAAGUUUUGGCAAUCAGGCGCCCACCUGGAGAACAAGGGAAUACAGUUCAAGUUUUUGGCAAUCAGGCACCCACCUGGAGAAUAAGGGAAUACAGUUUAAGUUUUUGGCAAUCUGGCACCCACCUAGAGAACAAGGGAAUACAGUUCAAGUUUUGGCAAUCAGGCGCCCACCUGGAGAACAAUGGAGUACAUUUCAAGUUUUUGGCAAUCAGGAGAACAAGGGAAUACAAUUCAAAUUUUGGCAAUCAGGCGCCCACCUGGAGAACAAGGGAAUACUGUUCAAGUUUUGGCAAUCAUGCGCCCACCUAGAGAACACGGGAAGACAGUUCAAGUUUUUGGCAAUCAGACGCCCACCUGGAGAACAAGGGAACCUAGUUCGAUUUUUGGCAAUCAGGCGCCCACCUGAAGAACAAGGG